GCAGCAGCCACGGUAAAACGUAGGGUGCGAGCGUUAAUCGGAAUUACUGGGCGUAAAGCGGGCGCAGACGGUUACUUAAGCAGGAUGUGAAAUCCCCGGGCUCAACCUGGGAACUGCGUUCUGAACUGGGUGACUAGAGUGUGUCAGAGGGAGGUAGAAUUCCACGUGUAGCAGUGAAAUGCGUAGAGAUGUGGAGGAAUACCGAUGGCGAAGGCAGCCUCCUGGGAUAACACUGACGUUCAUGCCCGAAAGCGUGGGUAGCAAACAGGAUUAGAUACCCGCGUAGUCCCUGUCUCUUAUAC
rnacentral:rRNA from 1 species